GACGAACGCUGGCGGCGUGCUUAACACAUGCAAGUCGAACGGAAAGGCCCUGCUUUUGUGGGGUGCUCGAGUGGCGAACGGGUGAGUAACACGUGAGUAACCUGCCCUUGACUUUCGGAUAACUUCACGAAACUGGGGCUAAUACCGGAUAGGAUCUCCUGCUCCAUGGUGGGGGUUGGAAAGUUUCGGCGGUUGGGGAUGGACUCGCGGCUUAUCAGCUUGUUGGUGGGGUAGUGGCUUACCAAGGCUUCGAAGGCUAGCCGGCCUGAGAGGGUGAACGGGGACAAGGGGACUGAGGGAGGGACCAGACGCGUAGGGGAGGCAGCAGGGGGGAAUAUUGCACAAUGGGCGGAAGCCUGAUGCAGCAACGCCGGGUGCGGGAUGCCGGCCUUCGGGGUGUGAACAGCUGUCGCCUGUGACGAAGCGUGAGUGACGGUAAUGGGUAAAGAAGCACCGGCUAACUACGUG
rnacentral:rRNA from 1 species